rnacentral:rRNA from 1 species
UACGUAGGGCGCAAGCGUUAUCCGGAAUUAUUGGGCGUAAAGAGCUCGUAGGCGGUUCGGCAAGUCAGCUGUGAAAUCUCCACGCUUAACGUGGAGGGGUCAGCUGAUACUGCCGUGACUCGAGUCCGGUAGGGGAGUGUGGAAUUCCCGGUGUAGCGGUGAAAUGCGCAGAUAUCAGGAGGAACACCGAUGGCGAAGGCAGGUCUCUGGGCAUUAACUGACGCUGAGGAGCGAAAGCAUGGGGAGCGAACAGG